rfam:Salmo salar isolate Sally breed double haploid chromosome ssa06, whole genome shotgun sequence.
UGAAUGCACUAACUGUAAGUCGCUUUGGAUAAGAGCGUCUGCUAAAUGACUAAAA